rnacentral:tRNA from 1 species
GCCCGAUUAGCUCAGCGGUUAGAGCGAGCGAUUGCAGAUCGCUAGGUCCAUCGUUCGGUGAGCUUCACAAAAACCCUUAUCAAAGCAUUUCACAUUAGCUAAUAUCGCCUAGAAUCGGUGAUCGGGCU